rnacentral:rRNA from 1 species
AGAGGUGCCGAGCGUUAGGCGGAAUCACUGGGCUUAAAGCGUGUGUAGGCGGGCCGUUAAGUGCCCCGUGAAAUCCCCCGGCUCAACCGGGGAACGGCGGGGCAUACUGGCGGCCUUGAGCCACUUAAGGGCAGACGGAACAAGCGGUGGAGCGGUGAAAUGCGUAGAUAUCGCUUGGAACGCCGACGGCGAAAGCAGUCUGCUGGGGGUGUGCUGACGCUGAGACACGAAAGCCAGGGGAGCGAACGGGAUUAGAUACCCCGGUAGUCCUGGCCGUAAACGAUGUCGACUAGGUCGCGGGCGCCUCUGACGGUGCUCGCGGCCGAAGCAAAAGUGCUAAGUCGACCGCCUGGGAAGUACGGUCGCAAGGCUA